rnacentral:rRNA from 1 species
ACGGGUGAGGAAUACGUCGGAAUCUGCCUAUUUGUGGGGGAUAACGUAGGGAAACUUACGCUAAUACCGCAUACGACCUACGGGUGAAAGCGGAGGACCUUCGGGCUUCGCGCAGAUAGAUGAGCCGACGUCGGAUUAGCUAGUUGGCGGGGUAAAGGCCCACCAAGGCGACGAUCCGUAGCUGGUCUGAGAGGAUGAUCAGCCACACUGGAACUGAGACACGGUCCAGACUCCUACGGGAGGCAGCAGUGGGGAAUAUUGGACAAUGGGCGCAAGCCUGAUCCAGCCAUGCCGCGUGUGUGAAGAAGGCCUUCGGGUUGUAAAGCACUUUUGUCCGGAAAGAAAAGCAUUGGGUUAAUACCCCGAUGUCAUGACGGUACCGGAAGAAUAAGCACCGGCUAACUUCGUGCCAGCAGCCGCGGUAAUACGAAGGGUGCAAGCGUUACUCGGAAUUACUGGGCGUAAAGCGUGCGUAGGUGGUUUGUUAAGUCUGAUGUGAAAGCCCUGGGCUCAACCUGGGAAUGGCAUUGGAAACUGGCUGACUAGAGUGCGGUAGAGGGUAGUGGAAUUCCCGGUGU